CGCAGCCGCGGUAAUUCCAGCUCCAAUAGCGUAUAUUAAAGUUGUUGCAGUUAAAAAGCUCGUAGUUGAAUUUCGGGAUUGACGUGAUGGUCGUACCUUAAGGGGUAUGAACAGUCGCUGUUGAUUUCUCACCUUCUGGAGAAACUUGAUGUCCUUAAUUGGGUGUCUUGCGGAUCCAGGACCUUUACCUUGAAAAAAUUUAGAGUGUUUAAAGCAGGCAUUUUUGCUCGAAUACAUUAGCAUGGAAUAAUAGAAUAGGACGGCAUGGUUCUAUUUUGUUGGUUUCUAGGAUCACCGUAAUGAUUAAUAGGGAUAGUUGGGGGCAUUAGUAUUCAAUUGUCAGAGGUGAAAUUCUUGGAUUUAUUGAAGACUAACUACUGCGAAAGCAUUUGCCAAGGNUGUUUCAUUAAUCAAGAACGAAGUUAGGGAUCGAAGACGAUCAGAUACCGUCGUAGUCUUAACCAUAAACUAUAGCCGACUAGGAUCAGACGAUGUUAAUUUUUAUGUACUUCGUUUGGCU
rnacentral:rRNA from 1 species